UUACGAUUGACGGAGCGAAGCGACGUCAAAGCGUAUACAAAGUCGAGUCGGUUUAAGGAUACGUUCGUUGGGUAGGGGAGCGUUCUGUAAGCCUGUGAAGGUGGCCUGUGAGGGUUGCUGGAGGUAUCAGAAGUGCGAAUGCUGACAUAAGUAACGAUAAAGCGGGUGAAAAGCCCGCUCGCCGGAAGACCAAGGGUUCCUGUCCAACGUUAAUCGGGGCAGG
rnacentral:rRNA from 1 species